GCCUCUUUGGUUCAUAAAUAUCAUUCACCCUGUCGGUGGAAGGAUGUUCUAAACCAUUGGUUUUCGACCGCUACAACCCGGGUUCGAUUCCCGCAUGGGGCA